rnacentral:rRNA from 1 species
GGCAGCCGCCGCGGGAACACCGGCGGCCCGAGUGGUGAUCGUGAUUAUGGGUCUAAAGGGUCCGUAGCCGGUUGGUCAGUCCUCCGGGAAAUCUGAUAGCUCAACUAUAGGCUUCGGGGGAUACUGCCAGACUUGGAACCGGGAGAGGUAAGAGGUACUACAGGGGUAGGAGUGAAAUCUUGUAAUCCCUGUGGGACCACCUGUGGCGAAGGCGUCUUACCAGAACGGGUUCGACGGUGAGGGACGAAAGCUGGGGGCACGAACCGGAUUAGAUACCCGGGUAGUCCCAGCCGUAAACGAUGCUCGCUAGGUGUCAGGCAUGGCGCGACCGUGUCUGGUGCCGCAGGGAAGCCGUGAAGCGAGCCACCUGGGAAGUACGGCCGCAAGGCUGAAACUUAAAGGAAUUGGCGGGGGAGCACAACAACGGGUGGAGCCUGCGGUUUAAUUGGACUCAACGCCGGACAACUCACCGGGGGCGACAGCAAUAUGUAGGCCAAGCUGAAGACUUUGCCUGAAUCGCUGAGAAGAGGUGCAUGG